rnacentral:tRNA from 1 species
AAAAACUUAGUUAAAAUAUAACUUUAGCUUGUCAUGCUAAGAUUGCUCUAAGAGAGGCAGUUUUUG